AAUCAAAAUAGCCUAAACUGGAGACAUUAUCAGCUUUCACUUCAGCUACUCUGAUCUAAAAUAUAAAAUUCACUUUGAAAUCUGACUUUAGGAAUAACUCUUCAUGUUCCAAUAUCACACAGUAAACCUUAAGUGUCAUUGUAUGCUCAGAUAUGUCAACUGUGGAAAGGUGCCUUAUUUAUGCACUUCUAUAAAUUUUCGGUGACAUUAAUGCAUUGAUAUACUGAAAGACAUCAUUGUUAAAACGGAUGGAGGCUAAAAUUGAUUGCUUGUAAUUUAUUCCGGAUCUGCUGAGAGGAGUAGUUGGACAGCUACAGCAUUCUUCAUUUUCUGGAAGCUCCUAUCUCUUCCAGAUGCACUGAAGAAAAUUAUAGAGAUUUCUAAAAUGUCCCUGAAAGAAUUGGCCAAACUAGUUUUUUUUUUUG